UUCACGUUUAUGCAAGUGCACCAUCGAUUAUCUGCAUUUUAUCACAUCUAGUGUGUUAGCAUGUUUGUGUGUGCUCAUGCAUACACGCAUAAGAACAGGAAUAGAGCGAACUCUAAUCUGUUUGAGAACCUCAGCGGUUCAACUGUGCCCUUCAACAGUUGUCAUUUGCUUCUUCAAAUACCUUUGUCAUCGAAGAGAGAUUAAAAAUGCUUCAAAUGAAUGCGAACAAAGGCACAGCAGAGGAGCAACACAGUGCAAAUUGCCUGAUGAUGAGGUGGCUAAUCCCACUGCUAGUUUAAUUGAUACUUAAAGGCCUGCUAUCCGCUCUGAAGUGCUGAGAGGCUACAAACCGCCUCGGCCAAGGUGUGGUAACAGGAGCUGGGCACUGUUACCUGUGGAAGUUUGCAUGCACAAAUGAGCAGAACGGUUUUGGACAGUGACAUACAUAGUCAUUCUGGAAGCAAUGCAGAUGGUUCAAGGUGGACAAGAUGCAUCACCAGAGCACACUUUUGGCAGCAAAAUAAUCAUCACAAUGUCCUCAUAUGGCGUUCGGUUGCCGGAGCGGAAGUUGAAUCCAAUUUUGACGAGUGUUUGUUUGAAGAGUGCAGUGAAGGCUGUAUCUCCUGUUCUGUUUGGUUCCUGGCCCCAUAUGCCACUUUCCUAUUUCCUGGCUGUAGACAGCAGGGAGUAGCUCUAUUAUCACCUCCACUGAGCUGUCUUUGAAUGUGAGAGGCAAUUCCAUUUCACUUUGCCACGGGGAGGAGGAGGCAGGCGUACUACCCAGCUCGAAGAAAUUGGCUAAGGGUUCAUUUUUAUAGAUGGAGUGCAAGGAGAGUGCUUUUCCUCUUGUGUUAGAGAGGAUUUCAAAUGUACUGCACUAAUGCCACGAUUGCUAUUGUGACAGGUGCACGGAUCAAAACUGUUUGUUUGCAUCAGAGAGGUGUCAUUGCAUUUAAUAUUGCACAUCCAGCCAUUUUGUUCAUAUAUAUAUAUGUGUUUCUAGCAAUGCUAUAUGAUUGAUACAUAGUCCGUUUUUUAAUAUUCACUUUGGUUUGUUUGAUUCUUCCAUUGUUUGUUUGAAUCAAAACAUGCUUUAUGCAAGUAUUUUAACUAGUUGCACAGACUUAAUUUUGUGCAUUACCGAGGAUUUUGAAUGUAGUACACUAAUGUCAUGAUUGCUAUUGUGAAAAUUGUUCAAUAUUAGUUUUGAGAGGUGCACAGAUCAAUACUGUUUGUUUCAGAGGGGUGUCAGUGCACUUAAAUAUUGCACACCUUGCCAUUUAUUUAUAAAUUUAUGUUUAUAGUAUUGCUAUAUGAUUGACGCACGGUCCAUUUUUGAAUUUUCACUUUGGUUUGUUUGAUUCUUCCAUUGUUUGUUUAAAUCAAAACAUGCUUUAUGCAAGUAUUUCAACUAGUUAUGAUAGAUGCCAAGAUUGCUAUCAUGAAAAUUGUUCAAUAUUAGUUUUUACAGGUG
ensembl:lncRNA